GAUGAACGCUAGCGGCAGGCUUAACACAUGCAAGUCGAGGGGUAGAUUACUUCGGUAAUUGAGACCGGCGCACGGGUGCGUAACGCGUAUACAAUCUACCUUUUACAGAGGGAUAUCCCAGAGAAAUUUGGAUUAAUACCUCAUAGUAUUUUCGAAUCGCAUGAUUUGAUUAUUAAAGUUCCAACGGUAAAAGAUGAGUAUGCGUCACAUUAGCUAGAUGGUAAGGUAACGGCUUACCAGGGCUACGAUGGGUAGGGGUCCUGAGAGGGAGAUCCCCCACACUGGUACUGAGACACGGACCAGACUCCUACGGGAGGCAGCAGUGAGGAAUAUUGGACAAUGGGCGCAAGCCUGAUCCAGCCAUGCCGCGUGCAGGAAGAAGGUCCUAUGGAUUGUAAACUGCUUUUAUACAGGAAGAAACACCUCUACGUGUAGAGACUUGACGGUACUGUAUGAAUAAGGACCGGCUAACUCCGUGCCAGCAGCCGCAGUAA
rnacentral:rRNA from 1 species